AGAGUUUGAUCCUGGCUCAGAUUGAACGCUGGCGGCAUGCCUAACACAUGCAAGUCGAAUGGUAACAGGACUAGCUUGCUAGUUGCUGACGAGUGGCGGACGGGUGAGUAAUGUAUAGGAACUUGCCUAAUAGUGGGGGACAACAUGUGGAAACGCAUGCUAAUACCGCAUACGCUCUACGGAGGAAAGCAGGGGAUCUUCGGACCUUGCGCUAUUAGAUAGGCCUAUAUUGGAUUAGCUAGUUGGUAAGGUAACGGCUUACCAAGGCGACGAUCCAUAGCUGGUUUGAGAGAAUGAUCAGCCACACUGGGACUGAGACACGGCCCAGACUCCUACGGGAGGCAGCAGUGGGGAAUAUUGCACAAUGGAGGCAACUCUGAUGCAGCAANUCC
rnacentral:rRNA from 1 species